CACACCACCAACGCCAGGGAACUACGAGCCUAGCUUAAAACCCAAACCACUUGACGGUGUCCUAUCCAACUAGAGGAGCCUGUUCUAUAAUCGAUAACCCCCGAUUCACCUAACCCUAUUUUGCCCCCCAGUCUGUAUACCUCCGUCGCAAACUUACCAUAUGAAUGCUUACAGUAAGUACAAAGGCCCUUCGCCAAUACGUCAGGUCAAGGUGCAACUUAUAAUAGGGGAAGUAAUGGGCUACAAUUUCUAACAUAGAACACACGAAACACUGCAUGAAAUACAGUUAUGAAGGCGGAUUUAGUAGUAAAAAGA
rnacentral:rRNA from 1 species